CUCUCUUCGGCAUUGGAGUUCUUAAUAUAGCCAUGCUCAUAUCAAUAAACCUGUUUGCUAAGAACUUCAUCUGUUUCUUAUAAGAAAACAGUAUGUAUAGUAGGAAAAUGGGUAAAUCACUUCCCUGGAGAGCAGAUUUUAGAGCUGUUUUCCACAUACAGCCAGACUUCUGUCAAGGACCCAUAUGUAGAAUGAUCACUAUGUUUUUGUUACUUUCUUACCCAGAAAUCUUCUUAGAAUACACAUCACAAACAAUAGACAUUUCUUUAAAAAAACAAAACAAAACAGGUUUACACAUACCCACACACAGAGUGAGAGGAGAGAGAGAGAGAGAGAGAGAGAGAGAGAGAGAGAGAGAGAGAGAGAGAAUAGUAUAUAUUCUUUUCAAUAUUCACAGUAGAACUAUAAACCUUUUUGAGCCCACAUUCAAGGAGAAUUUCCAACAGCAUUCUCUUCUUCCAAAAUUCAAGAUGAUUUUUCCACUAUAACCUCUAUAGCUGGUACCAACACCUAGUGGGGACAACUUGACUUGGCCCAUUAUAAUUUUUCAAAAUAAAAAAAAUCUACAUAUGUUGUAUACCUGUACAAAGUCCAGUUAAAUAGUAAUCACCAAAUAUAUUGAUGGAGAAAUAAUACUGCAUCACAAUUCCCAUUUUCAUAGUAUAUCUGAACUGCACUUGCCAGUAUGCAAUUCCUACCAGUGUGCCCUCUAUGUCAACACCUUCAUCCACAGGGGCACAAAUGCUUUUAGCCAUGAGUAUGAGCCAUCCAAGUAGCUUGGAAUAUUGGUGAUUCUUCUAACAUGAAUAUAUGGAGACCAAACUAACUAAGCUCACCCAGGAGACCUUAACUAUAUGAGGAAAAGAACAGUCAUUGUAAACACCAUAGAGAAGGAUUUUAAGAGUUCAAAAUCUAGCCAUUCCAGGGGGACCUCUGUUCUGCUACAUCUCCUUUACCUCCAUCAGACUCCUGAACCAUACAGAUAAGCUUCCCUUCCUCCCACUCAUCUUUCCUGCUAGCUGAUCCCUUGGAGCCAAGUCAAGUUGCCCUGAGCAGCCUGCCAUCCCAGGGGAUCCCCAUUUCCCCUCUACCCCUCCCACAACAUUUCAUCAGACCUGAGACUUCUAAGUCACACAGGUUAGCUUCCCUACCACCAUCCAUCUAUUUUGCUUUGCCUGAACCUCAUCUUCCUUCAGGUUUGCACUUCCACUUGAACCUGUGGCAGAUUGGCAUGCCUGCCCCACCCCCUAGACCCCACAGCCUAUCUGUCUCCCAAGAGCUCUGCCAUAUCCAGGAACACCAGUGAGACCUCAACCCUAUACCCAGGCCAGCUGGAACCCCCACAGAGACCAGCAUACCUGAGACCUAUCUCUCCCUGAGCCCCAUUAUCCUUCCAGUCUGUAACUCCAUCUGAACCCAUGACAGAUAGAUUUGCUUGCCCCUAGACCCAAAAGUCAUUGUCUCCCAUGAGGUCUGCAGUUUUUCACUUACAGCCAGACUUCUGUCAAGAACAUAUAUGUAGAAUGACCACUAUGUUUUUGUUACUUUCUUACCCAGAAAUCUUCUUAGAAUACACAUCACAAACAAUAGACUUUUAAAAAACAAAACAAAACAAAACAAAACAAAAAAAACCAAAACAACACAAAACAGGUUUACAUACACACACACAGUAAGAGAGGACUAGAAAAACAGGGACAUGGUGGCAUGCUUCAAUCAGGGACACAGAAGGCCUGCCCUGACCAGAGACAGCACUACUUGUUUCCCAAAAGGCCUGUUCUAACCCAGGUCAUACAUCUCUACAUGGUCUGCUACAGUCUGAGACACCCAGGCCAGUUAACAUCAGAUAUAACCAGACAGUGAAAGGCACAAGAACAUAAACAACAGAAGCAAUGUAAUCUGGCAUCAUCAGAACCCAGUUCUCCUACCACAACAAGCUCUGGCUACCAUAAUACAACUGAAGAACAGGAAUCUGACCUAAAUUCCUAUCACAUAAAGAUGAUAGAGGCCUUUAAGGAGGAUAUAAAUAACUUAUUUUAAGAAAUACAGGAAAACACAGGGAAAUAGGUAGAAGCCUUUAAAGAGGAAAAAACAAAUCCCUUAAAAAAUACAGGAAAAUACAAUCAAAUAAGUGAAGUAAUUGAACAAAAUGGUCCAAGACCUAAAAAUGAAAAUAGAAACAAUAAAGAAUUCACAAAUGGAUGCAACCUUGGAGAAGGAAAACUUGGGAAAGAAUCAGGAACUACAGAUGCAACUAAUACCAAGAGAGUACAAGAGAUGAAAAAGAGACUCUCAGGCAUUGAAGAUACCAUAGAAGAUAUUGACACAACAUUGGUCAAAGAAAAUACAAAGUGUAAAAAGUUCCUAACCUAAAACAUCCAAGAAAUUUGGGACACAAUGAAAAGACCAAACAUAAGAGUGAUAGGAAUAGACGAAGGUAAAGAUUCCCAGCUCAAAGAGCCAGAAAACAUAUUCAACAAAAUCAUAGAUUAAAAACUUCCCUAGCCAAAAGAAAGAGAUGGCCGUAAACAUACAAGAAACCUACAGAACCUCAGAUAGAUUGGACCAGCAAAGAUUAUAAUAAUAAUCUAAACAGUAAAAGUGCAAAACAAAGAAAGAAUAUUCUAUGACAAAACCAAUUUUAAACAAUAACUUUCUACUAAUCCAGUCAUACAGAAGAUAAUAGACAGAAAACUCCUACACAAGAAAGAUAACUACACUCAAGAAAACACAAGAAAUUAAUCAAGAUUAAAUCAAGAUCAAGUAAACUAUCUAAACAGCCCUCAUAACUGCCAAGGAAAUAGAAACAUUCAUUAAAAAAAAAAAACCUCUCAUAAAAAGAAAACAGAGGCAAACGAUUUUAGAGCAGAAUUCUCCCAGAUUUUCAAAGAAGAGCUAAUAACAAUACUGCUCAAAAUAUUGUCCAAAAUAGGAACAACAAGAAACACUACCUAAUUUAUUCUAUGGAGCCACAGUUACUCUGAUACCAAACCACACAAAGACCCAAGAAAAGAAAGAGAACCUCAAACCAAUUUUGCUUGUGAAUAUCAAUGCAAAAAUACUCAACAAAAUUCUGGAAAACCAAAUUCAAUUUCAAAUGGACUGAAACCUGAUACAAUCCGACUAAAAUAAGGGACAAGACAAGGCUGACUUCUCUCUAUUCAAUAUGGUACACGAAGUUCUAGAGCAGUUAGACAACAAAAGGAGAUCAAGGGAAUACCAAUUGGAAAGGAAGAAGUAAGUCAAGUUAUCGCUAUUUGCAAAUGAUAUGAUACUAUACAUAACUGACCCCCAAAAUUCUACCAGAGAACUCCUACAGUUGAUAAGCAGCUUCAGCAAAGUGGCUGGAUAUAAAAUUGACUCAAAAAACAUUAGUAACCUUCCUUUAUACAAAUGAUAAAGAAAUUGGGCUGAAAAAGAAAUUAGGGAAACAUAGUUCACAAUAACCACAUAUAAUUUAAAAGAUCUUGGUGUAACUCUAACCAAGACAGUGAAAGAUCUGUUCAAGAUGAACUUCACAUUCCUGAAGAAAGAAAUUGAAAAACACCUGAGAAGAGAGAAAUAUCUCUCAUGCUCAUGGAGUAGUAGGAUUAACAUAGUGAAAAAUGGCCAUUUUACCCAAAGCAAUCUACAGAUUCAGUGCAAUUCCUAUCAAAUUUCCAACAAAACUCUUCACAGACAUGGAAAGAGUAAAUCUCAUCUUCAUGUAUAAAAACAAUUUUCAAAAACAAAAGACCUUCUGGGGGAAACACUAUCCCUGACCUCAACCUGUACUACAGAGAAAUAGUGAUUUUUUUUUAAAAAGGAAAAAAAAAACUACAUGGUAUCAGUACAGAGACAGACACAUAGAUCAAUGGAAUAGAACUGAAGACCCAGAAGUAAACUCACACACCUAUGGACACAUGACCUCUGACAAAGAAACCAAAACCAUACAAUGGAGAAAAGAAAGAAAGCAUCUUCAACAAUUGGUGCUGAUAUAACUGGAUGUCUGCUUGUAGAAGAAUGCAAAUUGAUCCAUAUUUAUUACUUAGUACAAAACUCCAUUCCAAGUGGAUCAAGGACCUAAAACUAAAACCAAUAUGCAAGAUCUAAUAAAAGAGAAAGUGGAAAUAGCCUCAAAUGCAUUAGCAAAGACGAAAUUUUCCUAAACAGGACAACAAUGACUUGGGCUCUACGAUCAACAAUUGACAAAUUGACAUCAUGAAACAGAAAAGCUUCUUUAAGGCAAAGGACAUUGUCAAUAGGACAAAACAGCAGCCUACAGAUUGGGAAAAAAUCUUCACCAACCCUCCAUCUGACAAAGGUUGAAUAUCCAAAAAUAUAUUUAAAAAUACCUCAAGAAGUUAGACUCCAAAAAAAAAAAAAAGCAAAUAGCCUAAUUUAAAUAUGGGGUACAGAGGUAAACAGAGAAUUCUCAACAGAAGAAUCUAGAAUGGCUGAGAAGCACUUAAAGAAAUGUUCAAUAUCCUUAGUCAUCAGAGAAAUACAAAUAAAAACAACCCUGAGAUUCUACUUCACACCAAUCAGAAUGGUUAAGAACAUCAAUAUCAGAUAUAAUCUCAUAGGAUUAAGAAAAGUACCUCCUUUCUGCUUCAUCACGAAUGUCUUUAUUUAAUUGGCACAGAAGUGAAUGCAUUUCCUCCUGUAGUAUGCCAAAGUCAGAUACUUAAUAUUGUUUAACCAAAACUGCUGGGCAGAAAGACAAGAAUAAUUAAGAAGAAAAAUGGAAGAUCUAGAUACUUUUUAUAAUUACUUUAAUAUUUAGAACCAACUGUUAAAAUUUCAAUAAUCUUGAAAGUUCACUACAUGUUUGAUGGAUGACUCAUUUAGUUCUUUUUCCAAUGAGAUAAUAUUAGCCUCUAAUUUUAAUAUUGUUUAACCUAUAGCUUAAACUUAAUUUUAAUUUUACAAACAUAACAUAUAGGACACAGGCAAUCACUUUUUUUUCAAGCUUAUGCAUUAAUUAAAAGGUAUGCCAAACUUUCUCCAAUCUAGGUUCUCUGAUUUUGAGAUUGAUCACUUAAUUUUUAUUAUGUGUAUGUUAACGAAGUAUUGUGUAGGCAUGAGUGCAGGUGCCCAUAGAGGCCAGAGGCACCAGAUCUCAUGAAAAUGGAGUUACAGAUAGUUGCAAGUAGCCCAAUGUGAGUGCUGAAUACUGAACACAGAGCCCUUGUAAGAAUGAGCUCUU
rnacentral:lncRNA from 1 species